rnacentral:misc_RNA from 1 species
UCCGAGUUGACCCCGGCAGUCUCCUAUGAGUCCCCACCAUCACGUGCUGGCAACAUAGAACGAGGGUUGCGCUCGUUGCGGGACUUAACCCAACAUCUCACGACACGAGCUGACGACAACCAUGCACCACCUGUGUUCCGGUUCCCUUUCGGGCACCCCCACCUCUCGGCAGGGUUCCGGACAUGUCAAGGGUAGGUAAGGUUGUUCGCGUUGCAUCGAAUUAAUCCACAUCAUCCACCGCUUGUGCGGGUCCCCGUCAAUUCCUUUGAGUUUUAACCUUGCGGCCGUACUCCCCAGGCGGAUCACUUCACGCGUUAGCUACGGUACCAAGGAAUCGCUUCCCCGACACCCAGUGAUCAUCGUUUAGGGCGUGGACUAC